rnacentral:lncRNA from 1 species
CCUUGUAUAAACCUACUUAAAGUCAGGGCCUCAUCCUCAACGACAUGACAUUUCACUCGAAAUUCCUCAAAUUGAGCAAUGUACUCAGUUACUAGCUGAUUCUCUUGUGUAAGGGUGUUCCAUUGGGUAAAAAUUUCAUGAUCUAAGCAACCAUCGAAAGUAGGAAUAUCUAAGUCAAUGUCUCUAAAGAAACGCUCCU